rnacentral:snRNA from 13 species
AGCUUUGUGCAGUGGCAGUUAGUAGCCAAUGAGGUUUAUCCAAGGCACGAUUAUUGCUAAUUGAAAACUUUUCCCAAUACCCUGCCAUAACAAUUGGCAAUUUUUGACAGUCUCUGCAGAGA